rnacentral:rRNA from 1 species
GAUUAACGCUGGCGGCGUGCAUAACACAUGCAAGUCGAACGAUGAAACUUAACUGAUUUCUUCAGAAUGAUUUUAAGUGGAUUAGUGGCGGACGGGUGAGUAACGCGUGAGUAACCUGCCUUGGAGAAGGGGAUAGCCUUUGGAAACGAAGAAUAAUACCCUAUGAUAUGAUAAUACCUCAUGAUAUUAUCAUCAAAGAUUUAUCGCUCUAAGAUGGACUUGCGACUGAUUAGUUAGUUGGUGAGGUAACCGCUCACCAAGGGAGCGAUCAGUAGCCGGCGUGGAAGAGCGGACAGACUCAGUGGGACAGACACACGGCCCAGAUACCUGCGGCAGGCAGCAGGGGUGAAUCUCGAACAACGGGGGAAUGACGGAGGCAUCGACGCCGCGGGAUUUAGAAGGUUGUCUGGUAGUAAACAUCUUUUAUAUAGGAAGAAAAUGACGGUACCAAACGAAUAAGGACCGGCUAAUUACGUG